UACAGAGGGUGCAAGCGUUAAUCGGAUUUACUGGGCGUAAAGCGCGCGUAGGUGGCCAAUUAAGUCAAAUGUGAAAUCCCCGAGCUUAACUUGGGAAUUGCAUUCGAUACUGGUUGGCUAGAGUAUGGGAGAGGAUGGUAGAAUUCCAGGUGUAGCGGUGAAAUGCAUAGAGAUCUGGAGGAAUACCGAUGGCGAAGGCAGCCAUCUGGCCUAAUACUGACACUGAGGUGCGAAAGCAUGGGGAGCAAACAGG
rnacentral:rRNA from 1 species